GACGAAGGUGCAAGCGUUGCUCGGAAUCACUGGGCGUUAAGCGCACGUAGGCGGCUUUCUAAGUCAGGGGUGAAAUCCUGGAGCUCAACUCCAGAACUGCCUUUGAUACUGGGAAGCUCGAGUCCGGAAGAGGUGAGUGGAACUCCGAGUGUAGAGGUGAAAUUCGUAGAUAUUCGGAAGAACACCAGUGGCGAAGGCGGCUCACUGGUCCGGUACUGACGCUGAGGUGCGAAAGCGUGGGGAGCAAACAGG
rnacentral:rRNA from 1 species